GGGGGCGCUCGGGGCCCCGCGCGGCGCCUGCGGACCUGCCGCGGCCGCGGCGGCCGGGCCCCGAAAUCCAACCGCUGGAGCCGUAAGGUUUAGCAGCCUCCGGAGCAGAGAGGCAAACCUGUUCCUCAGGGGCCUCUGGCAGGCGUUGCAGAGUGCAAAACGUUACUCGUUAGCGUUGCCCUCUGGAGUGAAUUUCAUCAGCAAGUGAAGCAGAAGAGGAGGCCGGGCAGAGUCAGGAACCAAAAGAUGCUUGUUCUCAGAGUGCUCUGGCUCCAUAAUGCACCAGACGUUACAGCUCCUACCAGCCACUUCUCCCUCAGACUCUUGUUGUAUUUUCAAUAUGAAGAAUUGUCAGUAAUGAAGGUAGCGAGCAGUGUUCCUGCCACAUGGAUAAUAGUUUCUACUUAAUCAGCUGCAGAGAACAACACCAGGAAACAGCGAUUGCCUCAGUGCGGAGACAACCCAACGAGCUUUUGCCUUCAGGCCUUCCAGAGCUGCAUGUUAAUUUACUAGGAAAAAGAGCAAAGAGUUUGCUCUCAAGGUGGGUGGAAACCUGAUGCUUCUUUACUACCAGGAAGAUGAAGCACUAAGGAGACCUCUUGCAUGACUUAACUAUAAAGUAGUCCCAAGAUGAGAGAUCAGAUCUACAGCAGAGGGAAUGGCACCUGCUGAGUUGUACCCCGGAGCUCACGAGUGAAAACGGAGAUGGACACUCGCUAUUACAGCUUCCAGCAUUUCUCAAGAGAAAGGCUCUGCGCUGCCGCAGUCCUUUGCUUUGCUUUACAAGGUGAAAUACUGCUGGAGAGAACCAGGCAAUAAAAGGAUGCCAGGAGCAGUAUAAUUUAGAGCUUGAUUGCUUUGUGUUUUACAACAGCGCCUGCUGGGAAAGGAGCAGCGUGCACGCUCCCAGGCGCUGGCUGUGCCAGCCAGCCCGAUGUAUGUGUGCCACCCAGUUGGCAGGGGCAGGCAAGGGUCCCAGCAAAGCGGGAGGCAGAUCCUGGCCUCAGUGGAUUUUCAUGCCCCUUUGGCUUAUCUGGUGGAUAUUAUAUAAGUGGUUAUGUAUUUACAGUUAUUAUCAUGCAAAUAAUUCAAGAACAAAAGGAGCUGAGACGCUACAGUCCCAGCAGCUAAUCUCCGAACAUCAUCAGACAGAGAUUAGAAAUGGGUUAUCAGACUGGUUGUCCUCUUUCCAAAUUACCCCUAAGGGGGGUUAAACGCAACAGCACUUUGCAAGGAUGGCAAAGGUUGAUUGGCAGAUGUGUGUUUGGAGGUGGGAGAAGGGAGAAGAAGAGAUUGUGCUCUUAAUACUGCCCCAAAAGAGUGCUCUGACUGUGUAAAUCACCAGGAUAGGGCAUUGCUCACAAAGGACUGUGCAAAUAUCCAGAAUACACUUUGCCGAAUUUCAUGAUUUUUGCUUCCUUUCAAAGAAGCUUGAGUAGUCCAGAGCUCAUGAGUAGCUUUAAUUCUUUGUUUUCCUUUCUUGAUUAACAAAAAAAAAAAACAAAGAAAGAAAGAAAAAGGAAAAAACAGUAACAUCUCCCAAGCGUCAUUCAUUUCAAGCAGACAAAUAGAUCUCAUUCUCUGUACGUUGUCCAAAAGUAGAUCCUUCUACUUCAUUGUGGGAUAAAACUUUGCUUAAAAUGUAAAAUCUGGUUAUUGGAAUCAACAGAAGCAUUAAGUAGGGUAGCAUAUACACCUCAAUAAUGUUGCAAGAUUUCUCUGUCCAUGACUUGGUGGCUUGAAAGUAAGUGUAAUAGUGAGUAAUUCAAACAAAAAAAAAAAAAAAAAAAAAAAAAAAAAAAAAGAAAAAGAAAACACAGGUUUUGUGAAGAAGAGCAUUUCAUGCGUUGCUAGUAUGAAUUUUGAACAUGCAAUGGCCAUUCAGAAGCACUGAAAUUAAUUUUUGGAAAGCUUUUCAGGUUUGUAGAUGAAAGGUGCUGUAUAGACAGAAGUUACUCAUGAUGUUAGAAUGAUGACUGCAAACCCUUUGAAAUAUAAUUAACUUGAAAAAGCACUAUUGACGACAGGCCUAGUAUGUGGCCUUCUCUUCCUCCCUCGAGAUGAAGCUCGCCUUCACUUUGUCUCUCUAUGGAUGGUUGUAGUUCUAUGGUAAAAUGAAGUGUAAUUGCAAAUUUGCAGGUGCAAGAUCCAUUUUCUGAUCAGUUCAGUACUAUCAAAUAAUUUAUGCAGUUGACAUCGUCUCUUGUCUUCCCAUGCACUUUUUCUGUAUGAAACUGUGACUUAAGUUAAAAUGGGUUACUAAAAUACAGACAAUGAUUGUGGAGUUACUCGUUUGCAGUAAUUGCUAAGUUUUCUAAUGGACUUAAGCUGGACAGAUCCUCAUUAAAUUCAUGAAAUGAAAAGCAAA